UGUAUUUAUUUGCUUUAAUGUUCUGAUCAGUUAAGUCUUCAUUUAUGAAAUGCUUUUUUCCUUUUAUUUCUAAUUCUUUUCUGAUUUUUACCACCACACUCAAGAGUAAUUUUUAUUUUGUUCUUUUAUAUUGUAUAUAAUUUUCUUAAAAUCUUUUAGCUUAUUUUCAAAUAUUAGGCUAUAAUUUUCAUCUUUUAUGCUGUGCCUUUCCAGCAUUUAAAAAUUUUCAGUUAGUUUCCUCAUAGUUUUAGUAUGGAGUGUGACUUCAAUUCUUCUUUGUUACUUAAUUUUAUAUAAAAUCAGUUUUCCUAAUCUUUCAGGAGGAAGGCAUGGUUCAGGAUUUUUCUUUAACAUCAUAUUCUAGAGCUUCUAGUAUUUCUAACAUCUCUAUUUCUCACCUCAAUUUUAUCUAAACUUAUUUUUCUUUAGUUUUUUUUUUUAUCCCAGUUAUGCUUAAUUUGGAAUCUUUUUGCACCAGUUUUUGCAGCUGUGUGUAGCUUUCUCCUUGAAUGAAUCUUUGUUUCUUUAGUUUUGAGAGGUCAAAACUAUAGCUCUUUCAAACCUCACUGCAGACCUCUUUCUCUUAUCUGAUGUUGAAAUGUGUGAAAUCCCUCCCAGUUUCAGCUUCUGUUCUCACAUUGGCUCCCUGAAGGUUGCAGUGAAGAUCUGUUUUUUAUUUUGGUUUUAUCAGGUCCGUCAGAUGUCAUGUUGACUCGCUCUGCUUUCACCUGUGAAGAUGCUGAUAUUAUACAAGGUCCCUCAUCUGCAGUGCAAGUGGGCACACACAGUCAAGACUCCAUCCAUCCUGUGCAGCGUUCUGAACCUUGGGGGACCAACUCACAAUGAAUUUUCAGCUUUGGUUGUCUCCUGCUACUUGGUUCAAUGAUCUCUGUCCAACCCCACAGCACAUUCCGGCAUUUGCACUGUGCCGUGGACGCCGCUGCAUUGUGCAUGCUCCAGGCUAUGUUUGUGGACAGUCACGUCGCCGCGGAAGUCAAGCUCAUUUGUCAUCCUUGCUAGGCACUUGCAGGGCUGCCUGAAGAGAAAAAUAUCUGAAAGCAGGCAGUGACGAAGGUAAAGAAGAGACUCAGGAGUGGAAGGGCAGAAGGGGGCUGUGGGGGUGGAUGUACGGAACCAGGCAUAUCUGAGUCCCUGGAAGGACAGGCUCCUGCGUCAUAAUUCUGCUUCUGAUGGGAGGCCUUCGCAGUGACAAACCUGGGCCUUCUGGCUCUCCGUAUGUCUUAGACCUCAUUUUGAAACAGGUUAUUGCAGUAAUGGCCCCCGAUUUGUCCACAUCUCCCCGUAUCCACACCCUUAGGUAAUCCUUUCCACACUGACUCGGAGCUGGGAUGGUAGCAAAUACGAUUCAAGCAGAGACUUGAAAAGGGCUUGUGGGUUGGGGCUUACUUACUUGUUUCUCUUGGAACUCCGUGACUCUCAUGUGAAUAAGCCUGGAAUAAACUCCUCUAAAAUGAGAGACCACAUAGAGAGAGAGGCCCUUAUCAUCCCAGCCAUCCCAUCCGAAGCCUUCAUAAACCAGCCAACUCUAGACAACUCAUCAGUCUCAGCAAUAAACCCAGUUAGGAACAGCCAGGCCAGGCCCAGAGCAGAAGAAUUGCCCAGUUGAGCUCAGCUCCAAGGUACUGAGCUGCACACUUGUGUGCUGAAUAAGUGACAUGGUGCGUUACAAGGCAAAAGAUAACUGAUAAAUGCCUUAAUACUUGGCUUGCCUAUCCAUUUCAGAAAUAAUUCCAAUUCAGUCUUUCAUGAAUGUUUUCACGGUUUCAUUUGGAAAAUUCUGCUCUAAAAAUUAUAAAGGGGUGAAAAUAUAAGGCAACUUAGUAUACUAUCACCAUUUGAGAAGGGUAUUUUCUAAAACAGUCUCUCCUAGUAACUUUCAGAGGUAUUUGUGAGGUGAAAUGAGAGUGGGGAAGAGACUUCUAAAAUCACGUUGCUAAAAGAAAGUGGCAUCGCUUAGCAGCAACAUUUCAAAACCAGAGAAUCUUCAAAUAUUCUAGCUUAUCCACAUAUUUGUGUAUCACAAAUGUGAUAUGAUGGACAUUUUCACUGUUGCAGGAAAAUCAGCCCUGACUCUCUUGUCUCGUACUUAAAUAUGAUUCUUAAUGGACCUACAUUUCAAACUCCUGGAUCCCUUCUCAAGCUCCAAGUGCCUUAAGUUUGAGUUGACGUGGCGAGUGUGGGAGAAAGUAAGAAACAUUAAAUACUUGCAAUUUACACUUUGGGAGUUUCCAAAAUUCAACUCAUUCAUUUUUUUUUCCAGCAAAUAUUUUAUUGAGUGUCUGGUCACCACCUUGUGUGCUGCUCUGAAAACCUGCUAUAACUGCACAAAGGUGGCAGAGCACAUUGCUCUUAAUUCCCAUGGCUUUCUUGGGAAACUGUACACUACCACUGCAGUCACAAUAUGGUCUUCCUCUCUUCCCAGCCACCCCCACCAUAAAGCUACCUGAAAUAAGGGCACAUUACAUAUUUUCUGAUGGUCUUUCCUCUGUAGAGAAAUGUAGAUCCUGGAUAAAGACCCUUGGCAAGGACCUUUUUCCUCUGCCUGAUAUUUGUAUUCAAGCAAAAUAAUGAUAGUAAGAGUAAGCAUUUAGAAAGUGUUGACUAUGUAGCCUAGCACUGCUCCGACACUUUACGUUUAUUAAUAGACGACUGAGGCUAGCUUUGAUCAAUAAAAUCACGUGAGUAGGCACAUUUGCCACUCGGUGGUACAAGAAGGAGUCCCUAUGGCAUCGCAUGACUGUCCAUGGAGUUUCCAGAGAGGUGAUAACUGAUGCUGUGAACUCCUGGUUUCCAGGAAACGGCUCUAAGCUUGUCUCUAAGGUAUCUAAACAAAUAUUUUAUUAUCUUCUGGGAAUUCUGAUCCUGCAACCUAAAUCAAAGAUCCCAAACACUAAAUCAAAUUUUUGUGGCCUUCAAAGCUUAAUAUGAAAAUUACCAGUGAUGUUUUUCUUCCCCCAUAAUAUGACAUUAGGAGCUUAGUAAUGCAUAUCUAGAUGUGAGUUGACAUUUACACUUGUUAUUUGUUGGGAAGGAUGAGUAUGCUUCAUAAUUUAUAUGUAUCAAAUAUCUUCAUUUGUGUAAAUCAAAGAGUUACUAAUAAAAAUGCUAAGAGAAGCUGGA
rnacentral:lncRNA from 10 species